AUGCACGCUGGCGGCGUGCCUCAUACAUGCAAGUCGAGCGAACGGACGAGAAGCUUGCUUCUCUGAUGUUAGCGGCGGACGGGUGAGUAACACGUGGAUAACCUACCUAUAAGACUGGGAUAACUUCGGGAAACCGGAGCUAAUACCGGAUAAUAUUUUGAACCGCAUGGUUCAAAAGUGAAAGACGGUCUUGCUGUCACUUAUAGAUGGAUCCGCGCUGCAUUAGCUAGUUGGUAAGGUAACGGCUUACCAAGGCAACGAUGCAUAGCCGACCUGAGAGGGUGAUAGGCCACACUGGAACUGAGACACGGUCCAGACUCCUACGGGAGGCAGCAGUAGGGAAUCUUCCGCAAUGGGCGAAAGCCUGACGGAGCAACGCCGCGUGAGUGAUGAAGGUCUUCGGAUCGUAAAACUCUGUUAUUAGGGAAGAACAUAUGUGUAAGUAACUGUGCACAUCUUGACGGUACCUAAUCAGAAAGCCACGGCUAACUACGUG
rnacentral:rRNA from 1 species